ensembl:lncRNA
GGGCUCUGCUCCAGGAGUGCUGCUGGUGCUCACGUGGCACAGAGACCACUCAGCCACGGCAAAGCAGAGGGCUGCAGCAGUGAUGUGCUCCCCAACGUCACGUAUAGCACUUACUGGAAGGUUUUACUUGUUUGGAGGCUCCCAACUGUCUUUGGAAUUGUGUGAUGUUCUUAAGUAUGACUAAACAGCCUUGACUUUUGGCCAAAUCGCUGUCAUAGCCUUUCUUGCAGCAAAGAAGCACAGAGCUGCGGCAGGUCUUUCACACAGCACGUGACAGGCGGGUGCCCAGCGAUUUAAUGCCUACCAAUGCUCUUCAUGGCAGCUGCUGCUUUAAAUGGAAUUCCAGCACAAGUUGUGGCUUCUGCUGCCUGAGCCUCUUUCCCUUUCCCUUCUCUUUCUCCAUGCAGAAAAAAUGGCACCCACUGACAUUCAUCGACAGUUGCUGAACAGUUAUGGAGGCCCAACAGUGGAUGUGAGCACAGUGCUGCUGUGGGUGGUGCAUUUCAGCAGUGACAGUGGAUCACCUCGACUGGUGCAGAUUUAUCCAACGUGGCAUGCAGGUUCUAGUUCAUCGCUGGCCAAAAAGCACAGCCAGUGGUGGUGGCUAUGUUGAAAAACAGUGCUUUGUGGCUGAGAAUUUGCUCUGUCUGUUAGUAUUAUUGUGCUCUUUGUAUCUGUUGCAGUUUCUGCGGAAAUAAAUAGGAG